UACGUAGGGUCCGAGCGUUGUCCGGAGUUACUGGGCGUAAAGGGCGCGCAGGCGGCGGUGCUGGCCCGGCGUGAAAGCCCCCGGCUCAACCGGGGAGGGUCGUCAGGGACCGCACCGCUUGAGGGCGGUAGGGGCCGGUGGAAUGCCUGGUGUAGUGGUGAAAUGCGUAGAGAUCAGGCAGAACACCUGGGGCGAAGGCGGCCGGCUGGGCCGUCCCUGACGCUGAGGCGCGAAGGCGUGGGGGAGCGAACGGG
rnacentral:rRNA from 1 species